rnacentral:rRNA from 1 species
UGGGGAAUAUUGGACAAUGGGCGAAAGCCUGAUCCAGCCAUGCCGCGUGUGUGAAGAAGGUCUUCGGAUUGUAAAGCACUUUAAGUUGGGAGGAAGGGCAUUAACCUAAUACGUUAGUGUUUUGACGUUACCGACAGAAUAAGCACCGGCUAACUCUGUGCCAGCAGCCGCGGUAAUACAGAGGGUGCAAGCGUUAAUCGGAAUUACUGGGCGUAAAGCGCGCGUAGGUGGUUUGUUAAGUUGGAUGUGAAAUCCCCGAGCUCAACCUGGGAACUGCAUUCAAAACUGACUGACUAGAGUAUGGUAGAGGGUGGUGGAAUUUCCUGUGUAGCGGUGAAAUGCGUAGAUAUAGGAAGGAACACCAGUGGCGAAGGCGACCACCUGGACUAAUACUGACACUGAGGUGCGAAAGCGUGGGGAGCAAACA